UACAGAGGGGGCAAGCGUUGUUCGGAAUUACUGGGCGUAAAGGGCGCGUAGGCGGCCUUCUAAGUCGAACGUGAAAUCCCUGGGCUCAACCCAGGAACUGCGUCCGGUACUGGAAGGCUUGAAUCCGGGAGAGGGAUGCGGAAUUCCAGGUGUAGCGGUGAAAUGCGUAGAUAUCUGGAGGAACACCGGUGGCGAAGGCGGCAUCCUGGACCGGUAUUGACGCUGAGGCGCGAAAGCCAGGGGAGCAAACGGG
rnacentral:rRNA from 1 species